GACGAACGUUGGCGGCGUGCUUAACACAUGCAAGUCGAACGGAAAGGCCCUGCUUUUGUUGGGUGCUCGAGUGGCGAACGGGUGGGUAACACGUGAGUAACCUGCCCUUGACUUUGGGAUAACUUCAGGAAACUGGGGCUAAUACCGGAUAGUAGCUCCUUCUGCAUGGUGGGGGUUGGAAAGUUUCGGCGGUUGGGGAUGGACUCGCGGCUUAUCAGCUUGUUGGUGGGGUAGUGGCUUACCAAGGCUUUGACGGGUAGCCGGCCUGAGAGGGUGACCGGCCACAUUGGGACUGAGAUACGGCCCAGACUCCUACGGGAGGCAGCAGUGGGGAAUAUUGCACAAUGGGCGGAAGCCUGAUGCAGCAACGCCGCGUGCGGGAUGACGGCCUUCGGGUUGUAAACCGCUUUCGCCUGUGACGAAGCGUGAGUGACGGUAAUGGGUAAAGAAGCACCGGCUAACUACGUG
rnacentral:rRNA from 1 species